UCACAACAAAUCAGCUCAAAGCAACAGCUCAGGCUCAAGCAAUUUCAGUAUAGAACCUCUAGAUGUAGGGUGAUGAGGUGCAGAAUGGGAGUUGGAAUUGUUAUAGUGAGGCGCAGGCUAAGAGUAAUAGGGCACCAUUUUGCCUUAGCUAAUCUCUGGGAAAAUUACCUCAUUACGCACAAUAAUAUAGCAGACAUUAUUAGGGUGAGGUGCAGUCUGGGAGUUGCAGUUUUGGGGUCAGGUGCAGGCUCAGAUGUGUAGUGUUAUGGUAAGGUGCAGGCUCAGAUGUGUAGUGUUAUGGUAAGGUGCAGGCUGGGAGUUGUAGUGUUAUGGUAAGGUGCAGGCUGGGAGUUGUAGUGUUAUGGUAAGGUGCAGGCUGGGAGUUGUAGUGUUAUGGUAAGGUGCAGGCUGGGAGUUGUAGUGUUAUGGUAAGGUGCAGGCUGGGAGUUGUAGUGUUAUGGUAAGGUGCAGGCUGGGAGUUGUAGUGUUAUGGUAAGGUGCAGGCUGGGAGUUGUAGUGUUAUGGUAAGGUGCAGGCUGGGAGUUGUAGUGUUAUGGUAAGGUGCAGGCUGGGAGUUGUAGUGUUAUGGUAAGGUGCAGGCUGGGAGUUGUAGUGUUAUGGUAAGGUGCAGGCUGGGAGUUGUAGUGUUAUGGUAAGGUGCAGUCUGGGAGUUGUAGUGUUAUGGUAAGGUGCA